CCUACGGGAGGCUGCAGUGGGGAAUAUUGCACAAUGGGGGAAACCCUGAUGCAGCGACGCCGCGUGAGUGAAGAAGUAAUUCGUUAUGUAAAGCUCUAUCAGCAGGGAAGAAAAUGACGGUACCUGAGUAAGAAGCCCCGGCUAACUACGUGCCAGCAGCCGCGGUAAUACGUAGGGGGCAAGCGUUAUCCGGAUUUACUGGGUGUAAAGGGAGCGUAGACGGCAGUGCAAGUCUGGAGUGAAAGGCGGGGGCUCAACCCCCGGACUGCUCUGGAAACUGUACGGCUGGAGUGCAGGAGAGGUAAGUGGAAUUCCUAGUGUAGCGGUGGAAUGCGUAGAUAUUAGGAGGAACACCAGUGGCGAAGGCGGCUUACUGGACUGUAACUGACGUUGAGGCUCGAAAGCGUGGGGAGCAAACAGGAUUAGAUACCCCAGUAGUC
rnacentral:rRNA from 1 species